rnacentral:rRNA from 1 species
CACGUAGGGAGCAAGCGUUGUCCGGAUUUAUUGGGCGUAAAGAGCUCGUAGGUGGUUCGGUAAGUCGGGUGUGAAAACUCUGGGCUCAACUCAGAGACGCCACCCGAUACUGCUGUGACUCGAGUCUGGUAGGGGAGUGUGGAAUUCCCAGUGUAGCGGUGAAAUGCGCAGAUAUUGGGAGGAACACCAGUGGCGAAGGCGGCACUCUGGGCCAGUACUGACACUGAGGAGCGAAAGCGUGGGCAGCGAACAGG